AGUGAACGCUGGCGGUAGGCCUAACACAUGCAAGUCGAACGGCAGCACAGUAAGAGCUUGCUCUUACGGGUGGCGAGUGGCGGACGGGUGAGGAAUACAUCGGAAUCUACUUUUUCGUGGGGGAUAACGUAGGGAAACUUACGCUAAUACCGCAUACGACCUACGGGUGAAAGCAGGGGAUCUUCGACCCUUCCGCGUUUGAAUGAGCCGAUGUCGGAUUAGCUAGUUGGCGGGGUAAAGGCCCACCAAGGCGACGAUCCGUAGCUGGUCUGAGAGGAUGAUCAGCCACACUGGAACUGAGACACGGUCCAGACUCCUACGGGAGGCAGCAGUGGGGAAUAUUGGACAAUGGGCGCAAGCCUGAUCCAGCCAUACCGCGUGGGUGAAGAAGGCCUUCGGGUUGUAAAGCCCUUUUGUUGGGAAAGAAAAGCAGCAGGUUAAUACCCCGCUGUUCUGACGGUACCCAAAGAAUAAGCACCGGCUAACUUCGUG
rnacentral:rRNA from 1 species